rnacentral:lncRNA from 1 species
GUUCAGGCCAUUAAGUUUAUUUAGAAAGCAAUUUCAGAACUGUUAGAACAAAAUUGGGAAAAUAUACUGACAAAAGUUUAAGAAUGUAAGCCCUGAAAGACAGAUUAAGUCACUAAAAAAACAACCUCUUCAGGCCUUUAUAUUGGCUAAGGUUGUUGUCUUCCACAGCAGCCCUGGCAUGGCAUCCAGUUCUAGAUACUGUGGUUUAAAUGAAUGUAAAUUGAAUACAGUUGAAAUGUCUUCCAUAUGAUUCUGCACAUCCUUGCAGCCUAGGAGAAAGCCAGCAAGGAGGGGACCAAAGGGAGGCAGGAGCAGGAGCAGUGGAAGGUGGUAAGAGGAUGUGAGGUGAUGGCAGACCCCAAGUGAGAGGUACCCCCACGCAGACUGGAGCAAUUACUGGUGCUAUGUGUAGGCAUCUCCCAACAGGCCUGGGUUGAGGAGAUUGUCCAGCACAGUGCAUUCGAGCAAGUGCCAGGAGCCACAGUCCUGUUUCCCGAUGGAGCUGUGGUCUGCUCACUACAUCAGCUCCUUGUACUGAGAACUAUGGUGGCCAUGUCACAACAGACAGCAAAUCAGUAGUGGCCACAUCACAGUGGGGUCUCUGACAUGGAUGGGACAGUAUAAAAAGGGCUGUGGUCUAGAGCAGGACCUGGUUUGGGAGGCAACCCAAAACAUACGUUGGUCUUUUCCCUCCUCAGUGUCUUGCUGGAGAUUUUGAAAACCUUACAUGAAACAGCAUUGAAUCAAGGAAAAAGAAAGGUGUAUGGUACCUGCCUGCAGACUGCAAAAGCCUUACAGUUUCAGAUUAGUACCUCAGUGGUGCCCAGUGGCAGGACCAGGGGCAAUGAAAACGCACUGAAACACAGGAGGCUCUGUAUGAACAUCAGGAAACACUUUUAAAAAACAAACAAACAAACAAACAAACAAACAAACAAACAAAAAACAACUAUGUAGGUAAGUGAUCAUUGGCACAGGUUUUCCAGAGAGGUUCUAUCCUUGGAAAUAUUCAAAAGCCAUCUGGACAUGGUCCUGGGCAACCUGCUGUAUGUUACCCAGCCUGAACAAAGGGGUUGAACCAGAUGACCUUCAGAGUUCCCUUCCAACCUUAACCAUUCUGUAUUUUUAUGAAAGACAAAGAAGGAAGCUAAGAAACAAGAACUAAUUAAGACCAGAAGUGUCAGUAGCUAACAUCAAGGUUGAAUGGGGCUUUGAGCAACCUGGUCUAGUGGUAGGUGUCCCUCCCCAUGGAAGGGGGGUUGGAUUUGGGUGAUAUUUAAGGUCUCUUCCAACCCAAACCAUUCUAUGAUUCUAUAAUGGGGAAAAGAAGAAUUCUCUAAGGUGUUAAAAUAUCAAUAAAAUACUUGUACUUCCAUUAUCA